UACGUAGGUGGCAAGCGUUGUCCGGAUUUAUUGGGUUUAAAGGGUGCGUAGGCGGUCUAUUAAGUCAGUGCUGAAAUAUCCCGGCUUAACCGGGAGGGUGGCAUUGAUACUGAUGGACUUGAGUAAAGUUGAGGUAGGCGGAAUUGACGGUGUAGCGGUGAAAUGCUUAGAUAUCGUCAAGAACACCGAUAGUGUAGACAGCUUACUAAGCUUUAACUGACGCUGAGGCACGAAAGUGUGGGGAUCGAACAGG
rnacentral:rRNA from 1 species